UACGUAGGAGGCGAGCGUUGUCCGGAUUAUUGGGCGUAAAGAGCGCGCAGGCGGCACAUCAAGUACGCAGUGAAAUCUCCCUGCUCAACGGGAGGCGCAGCGUAACUGGUGAGCUAGAGGACGGUAGAGGGGGUAGAAUUGCUGGUGUAGCGGUGAAAUGCGUAGAGAUCAGCAGGAAUACCCGUGGCGAAGGCGGCCCCCUGGGCCG
rnacentral:rRNA from 1 species